CUCUGCUGAUCAGUGGCGAACGGGUGAGUAACACGUGAGUAACCUGCCCUUGACUCUGGGAUAAGCGCUGGAAACGGCGUCUAAUACCGGAUACGACCUUCCCCGGCAUCGGGUGGGGGUGGAAAGAUUUUUUGGUCAAGGAUGGACUCGCGGCCUAUCAGCUUGUUGGUGAGGUAAUGGCUCACCAAGGCGACGACGGGUAGCCGGCCUGAGAGGGUGACCGGCCACACUGGGACUGAGACACGGCCCAGACUCCUACGGGAGGCAGCAGUGGGGAAUAUUGCACAAUGGGCGAAAGCCUGAUGCAGCAACGCCGCGUGAGGGAUGACGGCCUUCGGGUUGUAAACCUCUUUUGGCAGGGAAGAAGCGAAAGUGACGGUACCUGCAGAAAAAGCACCGGCUAACUACGUGCCAGCAGCCGCGGUAAUACGUAGGGUGCGAGCGUUGUCCGGAAUUAUUGGGCGUAAAGAGCUCGUAGGCGGUUUGUCGCGUCUGCUGUGAAAUCCCGAGGCUCAACCUCGGGCCUGCAGUGGGUACGGGCAAACUAGAGUGCAGUAGGGGAGACUGGAAUUCCUGGUGUAGCGGUGGAAUGCGCAGAUAUCAGGAGGAACACCGAUGGCGAAGGCAGGUCUCUGGGCUGUAACUGACGCUGAGGAGCGAAAGCGUGGGGAGCGAACAGGAUUAGAUA
rnacentral:rRNA from 1 species